rnacentral:rRNA from 1 species
CGGACGGGUGAGUAACGCGUGGAAAACCUGCCGUAUACUGGGGGAUAACACUUAGAAAUAGGUGCUAAUACCGCAUAAGCGCACAGCUUCGCAUGAAGUGGUGUGAAAAACUCUGGUGGUAUACGAUGGUUCCGCGUCUGAUUAGCUUGUUGGUGGGGUAAUGGCUCACCAAGGCGACGAUCAGUAGCCGGCCUGAGAGGGUGAACGGCCACAUUGGGACUGAGACACGGCCCAAACUCCUACGGGAGGCAGCAG